UAUUUAAAAAAUAAAAUCAAUAACCUUUAGUGGACAGGUUUUAUGUUUUCAGGUAAUGUAUAGUUUAUGUUUACAUUACGACACGUCAAAUUUGACAACUGAUACAGUUUUCAUUAUUUUAUCGGUUUUCGCUAUAUUAACCGAUAAAAAAUCCGUUAGUUUCAUAAUGAACAAUUACAGAAGUAUAAUUUCCGUAAGUCUCACUGCGAUAUUCUGCCCCAAAAGUUGUAGAACCAAAAAAUGCCAUCGAGUUUACCAAGAAAAAGUAAGCAACUCAUUUCUAAUCUUAUUCGUUUUUUUGAACGAGAAAGGGAUCAUGGUGGUCCACUUUUACCAUCCGCAGCAGUGAGAGAGAAUUGCGGAUGCAGUAAAUAUGGCCUGCGAACAGUGACUUCCAUUUCACAAAUUUCUUAAUCGACCAAACGUUUAGAAAGUCCUAAAAGCAAGGGAGUGUAAGAAACCCAUUAGCGAUGGUGAUCGUGAAACACAAGCAGCGAUUUGGAACUCUGUCUACGACAUGAUCCAACACGAAUACCAUCUAACGAUUCAAUCGCAUUUGCAAGUUCUAAAAGAACGCGGCAUAGGCUACCUGUUACAAAUAACCACUGAAAUAUUUUUUAGUAAUUGGUCAAUAGAAGUCGUUGAUGUAAUGGCUAUCCUACCCACAAUGCAGUACUAUCGGUAUGGUUCAUACAUAUUCUCUUCCAUUGUUGCAUGAUGCAAUGUAAACAUACUUAGUGAUGACGUUAUAUUAUAAUACAUCGAUGACAUGGGCACAAAUUAAGGAAAAUCCUAC